GGAUAUUCAUGAAUACAC
rnacentral:siRNA from 1 species